rnacentral:lncRNA from 1 species
CCAGCUCUGUAGAAUCAGGUCACCUCUAGUGUUCUAAUGACACCAGCUCUGCAGAAUCAGGUCACCUCUAGUGUUCUAAUGACACCAGCUCUGCAGAAUCAGGUCACCUCUAGUGUUCUUUUGAUUGUAGUUCGUUCGUUGCUCCAAGUUAAAAUAUUAGUCUUUCCAAGUUUGAGUUGUGCUUUAUUGAGGUAAUUCAGCAUGAUUAUAACAGGUAUUUUGGAUAUUGUAAUCAAAUAACACAAUCGUGCGUAUUAGAUAGAAGAGUUACAUAUUCUCAGACUCGUCCACAAAACAUCCCAUGAGAUUUAAUACAUGUAAUUUAAUCAAUGUAUUUUAAACCAUCCAUCCAGUAUAUAUAUAUAUAUAUGUACAGACGGUUUAUGUUUGGUUGCAUGUAUACCGCGUUCCCUACAUUAUCUUUCACACUUUCAACAUAAACGCUAAAAUCAGAGACAAAAAAAAUAAAUAAAUACACUUUAAAUAAGUAUCGGAGAUGAAGACACGUGACGUGUCAUUUCACCAUGUAUAAUAGUAACGUAAUCAUUAGUUCUUCAGGAAUCUGUGCCUCUAUACAUGAGAAUGAGAUGUCACUGUGACAUUCGCUUUACCUAGCCUGGCUACCAGAUGUGCUGUUAGCUGUUAUUCCACUCAUUGGCAUUUGACAAUCAGAGGCAAGGAGUGGAAUGACAGCACAAACAGGCCUGGUACCCAGGCUAACAUUCACCUAGGAUUAUCAAAAAAUAAAUCCUCUUUACUGCCUGUUUUCACUGCUGCGAAUCAGACAAAGUGCUGGGAAUCAUAUAAAAGACAAAGUGCUGGGAAUCAUAUAAAGUACAACGUUCUGUGAAUCAUAUAAAAGACAACGUUCUGGGAAUCAUAUAAAAGACAAAGUGCUGUGAAUCAAAUACAAGACAAAGUGCUGUGAAUCAAAUACAAGAUAAAGUGCUGUGAAUCAAAUAAACGUUACAGAUGUUUUGUUCUUUCAUAUGGUGUUACUGCUGUUUAGUCAUCAUAAUGGUGUUACUGCUGUUUUGUUACGUCAUAAUGGUGUUACUGCUGUUUUGUUACUUCAUAAUGGUGUUACAGCUGUUUUGCUGUUUCAUAAUGGUGUUACUGAUGUUUUGUUACUUCAUAAUGGUGUUACUGCUGUUUUGUAGUUUCAUAAUGGUGUUACUGCUGCUUGUUACUUCAUAAUGGUGUUACUGCUGUUGUGUCACUUCAUAAUGGUGUUACUGUUGUUUUGUCAUUUCAUAAUGGUGUUACUGCUGUUUUGUCACUUCAUAAUGGUGUUACUGUUGUUUUGUCACGUCAUAAUGGUGUUACUGCUGUUUUGUUACUUCAUAGGGUGGUACUGCUGUUUUGUCACUUCAUAAUGGUGUUACUGCUGUUUUGUCACAUCAUAA